rnacentral:misc_RNA from 1 species
AACGCACGAGACCUGCGGACCUGCGGAGGGAUCAUUAGUGAACGCCCUCACGGGCUUAUAACUAUUCCAAACCUCUGUGAACCGUGCCCUCCGGGGCUAUUUUACAAACAUGGUGUAAUGAACGUCAUAUAUCAUAACAAAACAAAACUUUCAACAAUGGAUCUCU